rnacentral:rRNA from 1 species
AUUGAACGCUGGCGGCAGGCCUAACACAUGCAAGUCGAGUGAGCGGCGGACGGGUGAGUAAUGUCUGGGGAUCUGCCCGAUGGAGGGGGAUACCUUCUGGAAACGGUGGCUAAUACCGCAUACUAUCAGAUGUGCCCAUAUGGGAUUAGCUAGUAGGUGGGGUAACGGCUCACCUAGGCGACGAUCCCUAGCUGGUCUGAGAGGAUGAUCAGCCACACUGGAACUGAGACACGGUCCAGACUCCUACGGGAGGCAGCAGUGGGGAAUAUUGGACAAUGGGCGCAAGCCUGACACAGCCAUGCCGCGUGAGUGAAGAAGGCCUUCGGAUUGUAAAGUACUGUUGGCAGAGAGGCGGUACCCGAAGAGAAAGCACCGGCUAACUCCGUGCCAGCAGCCGCGGUAAUAC